GGGCAAUUAGCUCAGUGGUAGAGCGUUCGCUUUGCAUCGAGGCCACUAUGUCUCAUGUAUCAUGAACUGCGAAAGGCCCAGGGUUCAAUCCCCUGAUUGUCCA